UACGUAGGGUGCGAGCGUUGUCCGGAAUUAUUGGGCGUAAAGAGCUCGUAGGCGGUUUGUCGCGUCUGCCGUGAAAGUCCGGGGCUCAACUCCCGGAUCUGCGGUGGGUACGGGCAGACUAGAGUGAUGUAGGGGAGACUGGAAUUCCUGGUGUAGCGGUGAAAUGCGCAGAUAUCAGGAGGAACACCGAUGGCGAAGGCAGGUCUCUGGGCAUUAACUGACGCUGAGGAGCGAAAGCAUGGGGAGCGAACAGG
rnacentral:rRNA from 1 species